rnacentral:lncRNA from 1 species
CGGCUGUCGCCACCAAGCGUGUAUAUGGUCCUGUUACCGCAGCAACCCGGACCAAGAUCAGCCAUGCGCUAAAGGUUGGAAAUACCAUCGUAAAUACCAUCGUCGAGACUCACAGUUUCUCUCGUAGGACUUCGAAAGGCGGACUGGCUCAAUAAGCAGUCGCAUGAGGAAACUACACGAAGAUCCAGUUUUGCACGCUGAAAGAGUAGCUGCGAUUCAGGUAUGAGAGUUUUUCAAAGCAAGGAGCUUACUGUUGUGCGUAGAAAGCGAAAGGAACGGAUGAAUCGAGGAAGAACAUCUCGACUAAGCUGAUAGCUUACUUCACGAACCCUGAGAAUAGAAUCAAACAAAGUUUACGCAUGAAAGGUACCAGCAAAGUACCCUCUCCACAAAGU